rnacentral:rRNA from 1 species
AUUGAACGCUGGCGGCAUGCCUUACACAUGCAAGUCGAACGGCAGCACGGGAGCAAUCCUGGUGGCGAGUGGCGAACGGGUGAGUAAAGCAUCGGAACGUGCCCAGUCGUGGGGGAUAACGUAGCGAAAGCUACGCUAAUACCGCAUACGAUCUGUGGAUGAAAGCGGGGGACCGUAAGGCCUCGCGCGAUUGGAGCGGCCGAUGUCAGAUGAGGUAGUUGGUGAGGUAAAGGCUCACCAAGCCGACGAUCUGUAGCUGGUCUGAGAGGACGACCAGCCACACUAGGACUGAGACACGGCCCAGACAACUACGGGAGGCAGCAGAGGGGAAGUUUGGACAAUGGGCGCAAGCCUGAUCCAGAAAUGCCGCGUGCAGGAUGAAGGCCUGCGGGUUGUAAACUGCUUUUGUACGGAGCGAAACGGCUUCCACUAAUACUGGGGGCUAAUGACGGUACCGUAAGAAUAAGCACCGGCUAACUACGUGCCAGCCGCCGCAGUAAAAC